AGCGCAUACGGUGGAUGCCUUGGCAGUCAGAGGCGAUGAAAGACGUGGUAGCCUGCGAAAAGCUUCGGGGAGUCGGCAAACAGACUUUGAUCCGGAGAUCUCUGAAUGGGGGAACCCACCUAGGAUAACCUAGGUAUCUUGUACUGAAUCCAUAGGUGCAAGAGGCGAACCAGGGGAACUGAAACAUCUAAGUACCCUGAGGAAAAGAAAUCAACCGAGAUUCCCUUAGUAGUGGCGAGCGAACGGGGAUUAGCCCUUAAGCUUCAUUGAUUUUAGCGGAACGCUCUGGAAAGUGCGGCCAUAGUGGGUGAUAGCCCCGUACGCGAAAGGAUCUUUGAAGUGAAAUCGAGUAGGACGGAGCACGAGAAACUUUGUCUGAACAUGGGGGGACCAUCCUCCAAGGCUAAAUACUACUGACUGACCGAUAGUGAACCAGUACCGUGAGGGAAAGGCGAAAAGAACCCCGGAGAGGGGAGUGAAAUAGAACCUGAAACCGUAUGCGUACAAGCAGUGGGAGCCUACUUGUUAGGUGACUGCGUACCUUUUGUAUAAUGGGUCAGCGACUUAUAUUCAGUGGCAAGCUUAACCGUAUAGGGUAGGCGUAGCGAAAGCGAGUCUUAAUAGGGCGUUUAGUCGCUGGGUAUAGACCCGAAACCGGGCGAUCUAUCCAUGAGCAGGUUGAAGGUUAGGUAACACUGACUGGAGGACCGAACCCACUCCCGUUGAAAAGGUAGGGGAUGACUUGUGGAUCGGAGUGAAAGGCUAAUCAAGCUCGGAGAUAGCUGGUUCUCCUCGAAAGCUAUUUAGGUAGCGCCUCAUGUAUCACUCUGGGGGGUAGAGCACUGUUUCGGCUAGGGGGUCAUCCCGACUUACCAAACCGAUGCAAACUCCGAAUACCCAGAAGUGCCGAGCAUGGGAGACACACGGCGGGUGCUAACGUCCGUCGUGAAAAGGGAAACAACCCAGACCGCCAGCUAAGGUCCCAAAGUUGUGGUUAAGUGGUAAACGAUGUGGGAAGGCUUAGACAGCUAGGAGGUUGGCUUAGAAGCAGCCAUCCUUUAAAGAAAGCGUAAUAGCUCACUAGUCGAGUCGGCCUGCGCGGAAGAUGUAACGGGGCUCAAACCACACACCGAAGCUGCGGGUGUCACGUAAGUGACGCGGUAGAGGAGCGUUCUGUAAGCCUGUGAAGGUGAGUUGAGAAGCUUGCUGGAGGUAUCAGAAGUGCGAAUGCUGACAUGAGUAACGACAAUGGGUGUGAAAAACACCCACGCCGAAAGACCAAGGGUUCCUGCGCAACGUUAAUCGACGCAGGGUUAGUCGGUUCCUAAGGCGAGGCUGAAAAGCGUAGUCGAUGGGAAACAGGUUAAUAUUCCUGUACUUCUGGUUACUGCGAUGGAGGGACGGAGAAGGCUAGGCCAGCUUGGCGUUGGUUGUCCAAGUUUAAGGUGGUAGGCUGAAAUCUUAGGUAAAUCCGGGGUUUCAAGGCCGAGAGCUGAUGACGAGUCGUCUUUUAGAUGACGAAGUGGUUGAUGCCAUGCUUCCAAGAAAAGCUUCUAAGCUUCAGGUAACCAGGAACCGUACCCCAAACCGACACAGGUGGUCGGGUAGAGAAUACCAAGGCGCUUGAGAGAACUCGGGUGAAGGAACUAGGCAAAAUGGCACCGUAACUUCGGGAGAAGGUGCGCCGGCUAGGGUGAAGGAUUUACUCCGUAAGCUCUGGCUGGUCGAAGAUACCAGGCCGCUGCGACUGUUUAUUAAAAACACAGCACUCUGCAAACACGAAAGUGGACGUAUAGGGUGUGACGCCUGCCCGGUGCCGGAAGGUUAAUUGAUGGGGUUAGCGCAAGCGAAGCUCUUGAUCGAAGCCCCGGUAAACGGCGGCCGUAACUAUAACGGUCCUAAGGUAGCGAAAUUCCUUGUCGGGUAAGUUCCGACCUGCACGAAUGGCGUAACGAUGGCGGCGCUGUCUCCACCCGAGACUCAGUGAAAUUGAAAUCGCUGUGAAGAUGCAGUGUAUCCGCGGCUAGACGGAAAGACCCCGUGAACCUUUACUGUAGCUUUGCACUGGACUUUGAGCCUGCUUGUGUAGGAUAGGUGGGAGGCUUUGAAGCGUGGACGCCAGUUCGCGUGGAGCCAUCCUUGAAAUACCACCCUGGCAUGCUUGAGGUUCUAACUCUGGUCCGUGAUCCGGAUCGAGGACAGUGUAUGGUGGGCAGUUUGACUGGGGCGGUCUCCUCCUAAAGAGUAACGGAGGAGUACGAAGGUGCGCUCAGACCGGUCGGAAAUCGGUCGCAGAGUAUAAAGGCAAAAGCGCGCUUGACUGCGAGACAGACACGUCGAGCAGGUACGAAAGUAGGUCUUAGUGAUCCGGUGGUUCUGUAUGGAAGGGCCAUCGCUCAACGGAUAAAAGGUACUCCGGGGAUAACAGGCUGAUACCGCCCAAGAGUUCAUAUCGACGGCGGUGUUUGGCACCUCGAUGUCGGCUCAUCACAUCCUGGGGCUGA
rnacentral:rRNA from 1 species